rnacentral:lncRNA from 1 species
AUUAUUAAGAGUUGACUGUGUAAAUAAAUGGGCCAAGUGUCUUCCAUACUUACUUCCACAGUUCCAUGGUCUCAGCAGUGUGGGUGCCCUCUAUGAUGGAGAAAAUCAUGACCCAAACAAAGGAUGAUAAUGAUCACAAAGAGUGGGAACACAGGACUUAGGAAAUUCUGAGACUCAAAGGUAACUUGGUUUCCAUUGGCAUUAGAGACACAGUGAUGUUUAUGGAGGUGGGAGGUGGGGAGAGAAGGCACAUCUGAAACCCGUCAUUUCCUCUGUGAGGAAUUCCCAGUAUGAUGACUCCCUUUCCUGACACAGAUCUAUACUGAUGCCACUUAAUGCUGUUUGGGAACACUGGCCAAGACACGGAUGAGAAGUCCAAAUUCUCCAACCCUCCAAAGUUUACAAGAAGAGUGACAAGAGCUAGGCAAUUGGGAUUAAUUGACUUGCCCGGAGUCACACAGCUAGGAAGUAUCUGGUGCCAGAUUUGAAUCCAGGUCUCCCAACUCCAGGUGUGGUGCACUGUCUACUGUGCCACCUAGCUGCCCCAUGAAGAAACUGUGCUCAGUGACUUGGACAAGGUUACCCAGGUAAUAAGCACCACAGACAGCAUUUGAAUCCAAGUCCUUUGGUCCCAGAGCCUAUGUUCUUUCCAGGUACCAUGUUGUCUCCUAUGCCAGUAUGACCCCUCUAUGGGCUGUAAAGUCUAAAAUUUUUCUUGAAGCUACCAUGUCUACACUUACUUCCUAAAUCAAGAUCUAUGGAUUCACUGGGGAUGCUCUUUCCACCAAAGCAUAUUAGAUUUUCAAGAGUGAUAUCAGUCCCCAAAUUUACCACCCUCCAGGUAAUCUAAAAAACAUAAACAAAAAACCCUCAUAUUUAUUUGAUUAAACAAAAAAGGCUUCUGGUAGCUGACACAGCAUCUUCUUACUGCCUCCUCUAACCUUCUCCAUGGACCACACUGCUCUAAGCCUUUCUGAACUUAAACAGGUUCUCAGGCAACAGACAUCCAGCUCAUGCUUGAUGCUUUUCCAGUUUCCAAAUAUAAGCCAGAGCUUUUGUUUUCUCAUUCAGAUUUUAUGAACCCCCA